AGCUUUGACGGUGUGAACCGGAGCUGUGGUUGAAGAUUGAGGGGUCGAUUUUGGGAGUGACGGUUUCGCGCGAAUCAGAUAUAGACGUCGAUGCAACAAGAAACACAACGGGUAUCCGUAGAUCGAAGAAGACACAAAUCAAUGGAAGACGGUUAAGUUCGGAGAGAGUGGAGCGUCGCAGAGAUAAAAGGUGCAGAUCUGAGAGCGAAGGACAACGAAUAUCGAUCAAGAAUGAUAACGUGAUUCUGAAAGCAAUAGAUAUCGAGCGUUGUUGGGCGAGAGCAAUGGAGAAUGAGAUCUUGUUUUUGGAAAGAGUGUGUUUUGAGUGAACGGAAACCCUAACUGACAUUUCAGAAAACGAGUGUUUUGGAGAGGACUUUUCAAAAAAGGAGAGUGUUUUGGAGAGGGAGAAGGGCAAAAUGUUUC
rnacentral:lncRNA from 1 species